AGGAGGUACAUGGACUCACCACUUCUUGGUUUAUCAAUUUGUCAGCUGUAUGAAUUCGGCAAGAUUCCGAGUGAUGCAGGGAGGUGCUGAGCAACAGUCGAACGGGAAUGUAUACACGUUUUUACCGUCAGGCGAACCAGUUACCGCAUCAUGUUUUUUCGGUUCAAUUCUGGUUCGUUCAAGGGGAGAGAACAAAUGGUUACGGUUCGGGUUCGGUUCGGAAAAAAAUGUUUUUUUUGUGGUUUUCGGUUACGGUUCAGUUCCGGUUUUGAUCCCUGCCUGUGUGUGAAGCUGCCCAAAUUAGAGUUUACUAAUUCUUUCACUUUUUCCUUGUCUGCUAUAUAUGUUCGUACUUAGAUAAUGUUUUUGAGGCAGGAUAUUCAUAUAAUAUAUGUGCACAAUUCCUCUACAGCAUUUGAGAAUGAAGUCCUGAGGCUCCUCCACACACUGAAAAUCACGCAAGGAGACCACACAGCACAGUUGAAUGCAAUAUUCUCUUCCCUUGAACAACGUACGUCGCAAGGCACCAGUGAUAAUGACAUUGAGCCACAUGCUGAACUUGAGGAGUUCCUGGAAUUUGAUGAGACACUAAAACAAGAAACGGAGAUGAGGAAACUGGUGAGUCCUUUUAUGCGCAUUGCACUUUUUCAUGGACUGUCUGUUCUUGUGGGAAGGCUAACAUGAGCGUGUACAAGCGAGUGUAUAAGCAGAAUACACUGUAAUAACACAAGAAGAGAGAAACUGGCGGUUAGUGUUCCUUCACAACUGUACCGGUAACAGACAGUCGCAUAUUACUUGUCACUGGUUAGUUAAGUUUAGUCUGCCCCCUAGGCUUGGAAUCACAACAAACACCAGUUAACGUAUGAACAGAGACUAUGUUUUCACCAACGCUGGGUAGAAAGAAAUAUCAUCAAGCAGUCACCAGGGUUUUAAGAAUGGGCAGUUAAUAAAAUGCGCACAGCUGGGAUUGCUGGGAGCUUCUCGCAUGCUGUAGCCUCACCCAUUAUCUUUCUCAUGUAUGGUCACAGCCUUUGUAAUGCAGGGUUGGCGGUAUUGGCAAGUACCAGUUCCAGUGGCACAUUUGUCAGGAUGACCACUUUCCACGCAGAGACUGGGAGGUGAUGUGGGUUCAAAUCCCUGCACCUUGUAUGAUGUCUGGGGCUUUCCCUGGGAUUUCCAGCAGGCGUUACAAAUUUCAGCAUGGUUCGUCAUAAGUCGGCCAAGGACGCAUACUAACCCCCUGUCUUCCACUCUUUCCUUCUGUCCUCUCUCCAUCUGUCCACGUCUAUAGGCCGCUCACACCCACAGUUGCUUCGUGGAGCUAACACGGAAUUAAAAAAGAUGGACGUUCUGCAAAGGUAUGGUGUGACAAACACCAGAGAUGCCACGCAGAUAAUUUUACGGGCGCUGAUGAAAGACAAGGUUGCAACCUCCUUCAGCUGGCAGGGCGGCAAGGGCAAGAUCAAGUUCUGCGACCUGCUAUGCUGUGAUGCCAUAUUCCAGUUUUAACGACAGGCCAUGAGGCUGCUGCAUAUGAUGCGCCUAGUCCAGCUGCAACAUGUAAUCGAGGAGCUGUGUUCUCGACACGCUCGCGUUCUUGAGCACCUUUCACUACCACUGAAGACCUGGAGGCAUUUGACAGCACCCUGAACGAGAGCAAGACAGCUCAACUGAUUGAUGAACUCUGUCGCCUUGGGGGUUAUGAUGUUGGCCACGCAACACGGAACAUCCUGUGCUACAUAUUGACCGACUCCUUGGCGGAACAGUAUAGAGCUGGAUCGGGCAGAAAGGCAAACGAAAAUUCGCAGUGCUCAACUUCCCCAGCAUCAUUUUCAGUACGGAUACCAUACCUUCAAAUGCCGUCUCCAUCACAGUGCAACGGGCUGUACGAGCAAACACAAAAGGUCCACAGCAAACAAGGUGGAAGUGGGGACGCAUAUCAAGGCAUGGUUGCGACAUGCUAAAGACCGAGAAAAACAGCUGGCGAGAGUAACCGUAGAAUGAGCACA